GACGAACGCUGGCGGCGUGCUUAACACAUGCAAGUCGAGCGGUAAGGCCUUUCGGGUGACCCGAGCGCGGUAGGGGUGCGUGACAGGUUGACGCUCUGCCCCGCACUUUGGGAUAAGGCUGGGACACUGGGACUAAUGCCGGAAAUGACCUCCUAUUGCUGCGUGGGUGGGGGGACUAGUUAUCGGUGCAGGUUGGGCCCGCGGCCUAUCAGCUUGUUGGUGGGGUAAUGGUCUACCAAGGCGACGACGGGUAGCCGACCUGAGAGGGUGACCGGCCACACUGGGACUGAGACACGGCCCAGACUCCUACGGGAGGCAGCAGUGGGGAAUAUUGCACAAUGGGCGAAAGCCUGAUGCAGCGACGCCGCGUGCGGGAUGACGGCCUACGGGUUGUAAACCUCUUUCAGCAGAGACGAAGCGGUAGUGACGGUACCUGCUGAAGAAGCACCGGCUAACUACGUG
rnacentral:rRNA from 1 species